rnacentral:rRNA from 1 species
CCGAGGAAAAGAAAUCAACCGAGAUUCCCCCAGUAGCGGCGAGCGAACGGGGAGGAGCCCAGAGCCUGAAUCAGCAUGUGUGUUAGUGGAAGCGUCUGGAAAGUCGCGCGAUACAGGGUGACAGCCCCGUACACAAAAGCGCAUGUGUUGUGAGCUCGAUGAGUAGGGCGGGACACGUGGUAUCCUGUCUGAAUAUGGGGGGACCAUCCUCCAAGGCUAAAUACUCCUGACUGACCGAUAGUGAACCAGUA